AACGAACGCUGGCGGCAUGCCUAACACAUGCAAGUCGAACGAAGCCUUCGGGCUUAGUGGCGCACGGGUGCGUAACGCGUGGGAACCUGCCUUUAGGUUCGGAAUAACUCAGAGAAAUUUGAGCUAAUACCGGAUAAUGUCUUCGGACCAAAGAUUUAUCGCCUUUAGAUGGGCCCGCGUAGGAUUAGCUAGUUGGUGGGGUAAAGGCCUACCAAGGCGACGAUCCUUAGCUGGUCUGAGAGGAUGAUCAGCCACACUGGGACUGAGACACGGCCCAGACUCCUACGGGAGGCAGCAGUGGGGAAUAUUGGACAAUGGGCGAAAGCCUGAUCCAGCAAUGCCGCGUGAGUGAUGAAGGCCUUAGGGUUGUAAAGCUCUUUUACCAGGGAUGAUAAUGACAGUACCUGGAGAAUAAGCUCCGGCUAACUCCGUGCCAGCCGCCGCCGUAAUAC
rnacentral:rRNA from 1 species